rnacentral:rRNA from 1 species
CCCUUAGAUGUUCUGGGCCGCACACGCGCUACACUGAAGGAGGCAGCGUGUACUCCUGGAUCGAAAGAUUUGGGUAACCCGCGAAUCUCCUUCGUGCUAGGGAUUGAGGUUUGCAAUUAUCCUUCAUGAACGAGGAAUUCCCAGUAAGUGCAAGUCAUAAGCUUGCGCUGACUACGUCCCUGCCCUUUGUACACACCGCCCGUCGCUACUACCGAUUGAAUGAUUUAGUGAGGACUUCGGACUGGGACCGAUGCGGCUUUCGGGCUGCGUCGGUAUUCUGGAAAGAUGUCCAAACUGUAUCAUUUAGAGGAAGCAAAANUCGUANCA